CGGCAUCAAAUCGGAUGUCUUAAAGAAGCGAGUUUAGAAAAUUGCAUUAGUUCCUCCGCGAGCAAGCACAACGAGUACAUCCUUUUUUUUAUUUUUUCGAAUUUUUUUGGGUGUUGCCCUGUUCUUCCAGAGAUCGGCCGGUUAAGCGGUGGCUCUCCGGCGAGGGGAGUCGUAGGGAUGAUAACGCGAUCGAAGCUGGUGGAGGAGUUGAGGAAGUACCAGAUCGGAUCCCAGAGCAAGUGGGCCGCUCUGUUGAUUUUUUCUCCCAAGCCCCAGAUCAAGAAUCGGAAGGAUGUUGUUGUGGCUCUGAUAUUUGCCUUGUUCUUUUGCUUCAUCAUAAUAUCUUCCUACAUGUCGCUCUAUUUCAAGUGUUUUAGGCUCGCUGCUAUAGUUAUAUGUGUUGCCAUUCUUCUUCCAACGUACCUGAGAUUUUCUAGACAGAGAAAGCUUGCAAGGAAAAGGGAUGGGAGAUAUUCGUUACCUUUGUCAAUGUAAUUAGGAGGGAGAGCCAAUUAAUUCUCAAUACUUGAUUGAAGAGUAGAGUUAAAUUGAUAACUUGAGCAGCACAAGGACCCUUCCUUUUGGAGUUGCUAGUUGGAGUUAAUAGAGAUUAGAGAAAGUUACAGAUUCUUGUAUUUUCCUAUUUUUGAGUUCUGAUAUCAAGGUUUUAUAUUGAUAGCUGUAGACCUUUAUUUGUGACUGCAAUACACCUAGCCUACCAAGCCAAUCAUUUGUACGAUUUGUAUUUGGCGUGUAAGAAGAAGAGUGGAUACAUCAACUGGAUGAGCAGAUAGAAUUAAUGUGAAUAUGGUUGUAACUAAAGUCUUGAUACACUAAAUUUAAUACUCCAUGUAACCCUCAUACAUAAAUGAAUGGAGAAGAGUGUUUUUUUU